GGCUGAAACUCGCCUACAUGAAGCUGGAGUUACUAGUAAUCGCAGAUCAGAAUGCUGCGGUGAAUGCGUUCCCGGGUCUUGUACACACCGCCCGUCACACCACGGAAGUUGGGGGCGCCCGAAGCCACUUAGCUAACCCUUUUGGGAAGCGAGUGUCGAAGGUGAAAUCAAUAACUGGGGUGAAGUCGUAACAAGGUAUC
rnacentral:rRNA from 1 species